UACGAAGGGGGCUAGCGUUGUUCGGAAUACUGGGCGUAAAGCGCACGUAGGCGGGUCGUUAAGUCAGGGGUGAAAUCCCAGAGCUCAACUCUGGAACUGCCUUUGAUACUGGCGACCUAGAGUCCGGAAGAGGUUAGUGGAAUUCCCAGUGUAGAGGUGAAAUUCGUAGAUAUUGGGAAGAACACCAGUGGCGAAGGCGGCUAACUGGUCCGGUACUGACGCUGAGGUGCGAAAGCGUGGGGAGCAAACAGG
rnacentral:rRNA from 1 species